rnacentral:rRNA from 1 species
UACGUAGGUGGCAAGCGUUGUCCGGAUUUACUGGGCGUAAAGAGCGCGCAGGCGGUCGUGCAAGUCGCGUGUGAAAGCCCCCGGCUCAACUGGGGAGGGUCACGCGAUACUGUUCGACUCGAAGGCAGGAGAGGGAAGUGGAAUUCCCGGUGUAGUGGUGAAAUGCGUAGAUAUCGGGAGGAACACCAGUGGCGAAGGCGACUUCCUGGCCUGUUCUUGACGCUGAGGCGCGAAAGCUAGGGGAGCGAACAGG